GAUUUGAGUUUCCACUAGACUUGUGUUAUGGGCGAAUUUUACGGGCUGUGAUUGGUCGUAUUCAAAUCAAUGACAUAUUUGAUUUGAUGUCAUUUAAAAGACAACAACCCUAACCCUGUUUUCUCGUUUGUUUUUGUAUACAAAAGAAAAUAUUGAUAUUUUAGUUAUUAAUCUUGGAUUUUGAGACUAUUUUAUACGUUUAUACUUGUUUAUUGUAUUCAUUUUUAAACAGCCAUAUUAUUUCCAGCAAAAGUUAUGGAACGUUUACAGAUAGUAAUAUUUAUAAUAAAACAAAUUACUUUCUGUUUGCUUCCUAUAUUUUAUAAAUUUUUAAAGCUUCCUCCCAGACUCAUUUGAGUAUAAGGUGGUAAAUUUUUCCGAAAUAAAUGGAAAGGAUGGCGCAUUUAAUGCAGUGAUUUGAGCUAAUAUAUAACAACACAAGGAGAUGCUCAAAAUUGUCAAAAAAAAAUAUGAAAAUGUUAAUCAAGUAAAUUUUAGAGUUCUAAGAACUUAUCCAAAUGAUUAAAUGAAGCUUGUUUUCAAGAAAGACUAUCGAUGCCAUCACAAUACUCAGGCUAAUUUGCCUUCAUCAAAGACAAAAAAUCCGUCAUCUGAACAUGUUAACUGUCAGGCAUUUUUAUUAAGAAUUACAGUGAAACAAUCAAGUAUGAAAAGGUAAAGUCUAUUUGUUAUCUGAGACACAACUACUGUCUAGUGACGUUGGUAAUAUUUUUUGAGAAGUUAGGCUGCUAGACGCUAGACGUAACUGGAAAAGACUACACAACCAAAGAUAACUACUCGUAGCCAAUAUUAUUAUUAACAGUAAACAGGCAUAAAUAACAUAACCAAUCAAUAAUUAUUUAUUUACACCUAUAUAAUGUAUUGAUAACAGAUGAGAAAAGUAUUUAUUGUACAAAAUAAAAAUAUUUUAUAGAAAUAAA